rnacentral:antisense_RNA from 1 species
GCCACGUGGGCCGCGCGGAGAACGCGCCAGGCUCAUCACCUGGAUCAUCGUGCCUCAGUUUCCCCCUCGGCAAAUGGGGCUUCAGCGGCUCGCGACGCACAUUGAUGGAGCGUAUGUCCAGGCGCCGGUGCACCGCAAGGAGCAAAACAGACACAGUCCUUGGUCCCAGGGCUCACGUCCUGGGGCGAAGAGGAUCCUCCAUAAACGAUCAGCCAUAACAGCGGUGAUUGGACAAGAGACUGAUUUCGGUGACUUUCUCCUGAUAAGAGACCACCGACCAGCUGACCCCGCCGACCAGCUGACCCGUUUAUAGAGAGAGAUGAUGCAUCUGCAUGCCUUUGUGUCCUGAAAAGACCUUUUGCCAUAAAGGCCCUAAUUGUAAGAUGUGUAAAUGUUAAGUCUCCACCCCAAAGUGAACAUGGGUCAUAUAUUACAUGCUUUGCUCAAUAAGAGGGCAUGUGUCAGGACCGCCUUCAUGAAUAUUCAUAGCUCCUCCUGUAACCUGUUGAAUAUGUAUGUUUAGCCAAUCCCUUCAGCAUAGCGCUCCUGCCCCAACCCCUCCUCCUUGGAAGUGCCUGUCUCUGGCCUUGGCUGGAGACAGAUUCCCAGCCUCACAACCGUUUACAAGAAAUAAAGCCUUCUCUUUUUCCAAA